rnacentral:rRNA from 1 species
GCAUGAACGCUAGCGGCGUGCCUAACACAUGCAAGUCGAACGUGAGGAUGAUUUCGGUCAUCUGAAAGUGGCGGACGGGUGAGGAAGACGUAGGUGACCUGCCUUCGAGCGGGGGAUAACCACUGGAAACGGUGGCUAAUACCGCAUGAGGUGUCUGGCUUGGGAAAGCCAGACAAGAAAGCUUAGGCGCUGGAAGAGGGGCUUACGGCCGAUUAGCUAGUUGGUGAGGUAAAGGCUCACCAAGGCAAUGAUCGGUAGCUGGUCUGAGAGGACGAUCAGCCACACGGGAACUGAGACACGGUCCCGACUCCUACGGGGGGCAGCAGUGAGGAAUAUUCGGCAAUGGGGGGAACCCUGACCGAGCAACGCCGCGUGAAGGAUGAAGGUCUUCGGAUUGUAAACUUCUUUUCACGGGGAAGAGAGAGGACGGUACCCGUGGAAUCAGUCACGGCUAACUACGUGC